AGGACAAGUUUGCUUUAUACACUGAUGUCGGAGCUUGGAGAAAUUCACUUGACUACAUUACCCAGCUCAGGCAGUCUGCAAUACUCAAAGAAUGUCCACGACUAAGAUGUUGAACCAGAUGGCCUACAUCCAGAACUGACGCAUGGAGUUCAAAACUACAUGGAUAAAGGCAGCUACGUUCGAUUCGGCUUAAGGUCACCAUAGUUAGCCCAGACAGCCCUCCGGCACUUUGUCAGAGGACAGAUCAUCUGAGAUGUGAUUGAGAGUCAUGAGGUAACCGCUGUGCAAAUAUUUGGCUCGGAUCUGACAAACCGCAAAAAGUUUGCCUUUUAAAGAGUGUGGCAUAUCAUUCCAACAAGAUGUGCAUUGCCCCAUCACCUUUGUCCAGCCACCUGGCAGAUUCCCUGCGGAGUAGUUGUGUGCUAACUUCUCGGGUUCCAUCACCAAUGAUGGCUUCCCCAAGGCUACAACUACAUACAGAAGAUGAUAGUCAACAUUCAGCUUGUGAUGUAAGAAACGGGCAUUCAGCCGGCGAAUAUAAACCAGCACACCUUAACUGCUUGGUAGUUUUCAUGUGCAGUGCUCAUGGAAAGUGCAGGGAGAGGAUCUUGCUGGAACAGGUGCUCACCCUUCAGUUGGCUCGAUUGGUAGCGCCCAAGUCACUGCCAGCGCCCAUGAAAAGGCCAGAUGCCCUGGAGAUGGGAACCACUGACACAUGAUCAGUUCCCCAUCUAGAGCAGCACUAAAGGCGACCUCCAUAAAGCCUACUUUCUGGAAUACAUCUGUGUGCAGAGCUUGUACAUCAAGUUGAAGACUUACAAUUCAUCUCAUUGACAGUGAUACAACAUUUAAACAAAACCGUUUUAUGACUGAAAAAUCUAAAUAAAAACAAAAUAUGUUGUUGCC